rnacentral:tRNA from 1 species
UCUCUGAUAGCUCAGUAGGUAAAGAACCUGCCUGCAAUGCAGGAGGCCUCGGUUCGAUCCCUAGGUCAGGAA